ensembl:miRNA
CAGGGUAGCUCCCUGUAUGGCUUGCUACGUAUGGGGUUGCUGGCCCCUUGCUCCUGGUGCAGGCUGAAGAAAUGCAAACAAAGUACAGCAUUAGCCUGAGC